rnacentral:sRNA from 1 species
UCGAAGACACAGGUCAUUGUUGUCGG